GCAUCAUGGCUGCAUCUGAUAUAUAUUCUUAUUAAACCAUACUUUUUUCUCCAACUGGAGUAAUAUGUCACAGUUGCUAAAAUGACAGAAGAAUCUGAAGAGCUAAGUGUAUAAGUCAUAUUGGUCACAUUAUUAUGAGAAGCUUACUUGAAAGUUGAAAAAAAGAAGAAGAUCAUGCUUUGCUUGAAGACAGAUCUACUGAACUUCAGAUGCCAAAGUAUGAGGUUAUAGUGCCAAUGGAUCCCAG
rnacentral:lncRNA from 1 species